CCGGGAACUCAAAGGAGACUGCCAGUGAUAAACUGGAGGAAGGUGGGGAUGACGUCAAGUCAUCAUGGCCCUUACGACCAGGGCUACACACGUGCUACAAUGGCGCAUACAAAGAGAAGCGACCUCGCGAGAGCAAGCGGACCUCAUAAAGUGCGUCGUAGUCCGGAUUGGAGUCUGCAACUCGACUCCAUGAAGUCGGAAUCGCUAGUAAUCGUGGAUCAGAAUGCCACGGUGAAUACGUUCCCGGGCCUUGUACACACCGCCCGUCACACCAUGGGAGUGGGUUGCAAAAGAAGUAGGUAGCUUAACCUUCGGGAGGGCGCUUACCACUUUGUGAUUCAUGACUGGGGUGAAGUCGUAACAAGGUAACCGUAGGGGAACCUGUGGUUGGAUCACCUCCUUACCUUAAAGAAGC
rnacentral:rRNA from 1 species